CCGGCACGGGUGAGUAACACGUAUCCAACCUGCCGUCUACUCUUGGACAGCCUUCUGAAAGGAAGAUUAAUACAAGAUGGCAUCAUGAGUCCGCAUGUUCACAUGAUUAAAGGUAUUCCGGUAGACGAUGGGGAUGCGUUCCAUUAGGCAGUUGGCGGGGUAACGGCCCACCAAACCGACGAUGGAUAGGGGUUCUGAGAGGAAGGUCCCCCACAUUGGUACUGAGACACGGACCAA
rnacentral:rRNA from 1 species